CAGUCGCCGCGGUAAUACGUAGGUGGCAAGCGUUGUCCGGAAUUAUUGGGCGUAAAGCGCGCGCAGGCGGCCCCGCAAGUCUCAUGUGAAAUCUUCAGGCUCAACUUGAAGUCUGCAUGGGAAACUGCGGGGCUGGAGUAUGGGAGAGGUGAGUGGAAUUCCUGGUGUAGCGGUGAAAUGCGUAGAUAUCAGGAGGAACACCUGUGGCGAAAGCGGCUCACUGGACCAUAACUGACGCUGAGGCACGAAAGCUAGGGGAGCGAACAGGAUUAGAUACCCCCGUAGUCCCUGUCUCUUAUAC
rnacentral:rRNA from 1 species